UACGUAGGGCGCAAGCGUUAUCCGGAAUUAUUGGGCGUAAAGAGCUCGUAGGCGGUUUGUCGCGUCGGGAGUGAAAACACCGGGCUUAACUCGGUGCUUGCUUCCGAUACGGGCAGACUAGAGGCAUGCAGGGGAGAACGGAAUUCCUGGUGUAGCGGUGAAAUGCGCAGAUAUCAGGAGGAACACCGGUGGCGAAGGCGGUUCUCUGGGCAUGUCCUGACGCUGAGGCGCGACAGCGUGGGGAGCAAACAGG
rnacentral:rRNA from 1 species